rnacentral:rRNA from 1 species
UACGAAGGGGGCCAGCGUUGCUCGGAAUCACUGGGCGUAAAGCGCACGUAGGCGGAUCUUUAAGUCAGGGGUGAAAUCCCGGAGCUCAACUCCGGAACUGCCUUUGAUACUGAGGGUCUUGAGUCCGGGAGAGGUGAGUGGAACUGCGAGUGUAGAGGUGAAAUUCGUAGAUAUUCGCAAGAACACCAGUGGCGAAGGCGGCUCACUGGCCCGGUACUGACGCUGAGGUGCGAAAGCGUGGGGAGCAAACAGG